UUUCACAAUUUAAUGAACAAUAAUACUUACAAUUAUGUCAAAUAACAAAAAAGCAACAUAUGUACACAUUUCACUAAUAAAAGACAAAGGCAUUCUUAGAUCGCUUUGGACAACAAGAUUUGUUAAUGACUUUGCUUUGUUGCCAUCUAUGUUUUUAUGGUUUUCACCUUUUUCUAAAACGAAAUCCAUGCAAGAAGUUUGUCACGACCCGAAACUCUCAUCGAGCCCGUGACAACCACCGCGAAGUCUCACCAGACAUUCUUUACCCCGAAUGCUGACCGAAACCUCGCAAGGCUUUCGUAUCAGUUUUCUUACCUCCCUUGUGAUCGACAGUAACUAAAAUUGUGUUUUGAAACUAUAUGGACCAUUUUCCCAUCCAAAAACAAUGAAAAUUUAUUUCUGUCUCAUAAGGGUAUUUUAGUCUCUUUUUUUUGAAAAUAUCGAAACUCGCCAAAAACAUGGUGUAAAAGCUAAAUAUAUUCAUACAUACUUUAAAUCAGAUAAUUGAAGUAUAAAAUUACUUUUACAGUGACACGUGUGCCCCUAACUAACCAAGAAGGUGUAGGGCUACGAACCCUUACUUUCUAAGAAGCAACUCCGAGAUUUAUUCUCGUCUUAAUCAACUAUCAACAAACUGUUCUGAGCCUGAAAAAUGAAUAGGAAGAGGAGUGAGAUUACAUAAUCCCAGUAAGUAAACAAUUACCAUCAAAAGCAUCUAAAGCCGAGUAAAUGGAGACAAUAUAAAAACGUUAUAUUUCAAUAAUGUUUAUAACGUAAAAUUCGUUUCAAUCUAUACCAAACAAUUUCUUUACAUCAAAAUUUUCCUGGCUUAUGAGUUUCUUAAACUUGGCUCCUGCCAGAAUCAUUCUCGCGGGUACCUUCGUCAAGGUAUCCCACUGAGACCGCCAAGGUUGUUAAAUGUCUCAUACCUAUAAACAUGUUUUCGCAUCUGACACACAGCCAUUCCUUGACGUUGGCUGAGUCUCACUCUCACGUGGUGGCCCGAACGCGAGGUGCACUCAAAUCUUACCUCAAGAGAUACUUCAUCGAGCAUCUCCCCCUGGAGGUAAAUAUAUAAUUGGGUUACCGUGCCCCUCUCUUAGGCAGUCCACGGAAACCCUCACCACUGCAGUGACCGUUUAAUAUACCACCAGACUCAUAAAAUUUUCAGUAGCAUAAUAUGGCGAAUAAAAUUUAACCCAGUCUACCGAGACCAAUCCAAAACUGUUCAUAUAUUUCAUGCCAACCCUAAAAAUUUAGCCAUCAUGCUACCAUAGUGUCAUAAGCCACAAUUUCAAUAACAUAUAAAAUCAUAAAUUUCAACACAGUCUCCAUAUACUCAAUUUUUCCAAAACAAUAUUUGAUUUCAAAAUCAGUAUAAAUCUCAUUUUUAUUAAAAAACAUUUUAAUUGGAAAACAUAAUAUUUUAUAAUUUAAACUCACCAUUCAAUACAAGCAUCAAACAAGUAUAAUUAUUCUAGAUAUUUAAGACGAUAAAUUGUCCACUCACAAUAUUAGGAGUAGAAAUACUCCCAUUUUCAAUCCGCGGGUACAGUCCUUUACCUGUAUCCAAUGGCUCACCACCUAGCCAUAAUCCAUGACACAUAUUCCAAUUAAAUUAUGUCUAACAGUCAUAAGCUAUUUCAGACUCGAUAUAUAUAUAUGCAUGAUAUGAAAUGAAAAAAAUACACAGGUAGCCAUCUAGACCCGGUAUUGGCCUAAGUUGAUUUUUCAUUCGAUAAAUUGGCCAAUGCGUCCAAUUUCACACCAACUUGCUCUAUUUCUUUUUCAAUCCCUCAAUUCACUAAACACAAACUAAUUAACACAAAAUUAGGUAAAAUUUAUCUUUACUUUUCUUUUUGGAACUUUUGGCCAACAAUGGUACACUAACUUCGUGAUUUUUCUUACGUAAUUUUCUCACCAUAAUUCAUUAAUUCCUACACCAAAUACUAUUAUUUCUUACUCAAAUCACCUAGGAUAAUACCUCAUUCUUCCUCAGUAUUCACUUAGAGAAUUUAGCUAUUGAUGGACACCAAACCUUUGGUGGUUUUCUUCACUUGUUUUCAUGUUACACAUCAUUAAUCACCUAAAAACACUAACAUACCUCAAAAUCAAACCAAUCCAAGAUCAUUCUCUCUCCAUACCCAUUUUGACCAGCCAUGAAUUCACCAUAAAAGCAUGCUUUUCAACCAUGAAAAUUAAGGAAAAAUGCGUGGGUAAGGUAAAUCACUAGCAAAAUCAAAGAAAUUUUACCUUUACUUGAUCAAAUCUUUGAAUUCCAACACUUUCUCUUUGAUUUUUCCCACCUAGGAUUUGCUCUUCCUUGGUUUCUCUUCUCUUCUGGUUUGGCCGACCACUAUGGG
rnacentral:lncRNA from 1 species